rnacentral:pre_miRNA from 3 species
GAGGGACUUUCAGGGGCAGCUGUGUUUUACUAACCCAGUCAUAAUGCCCCUAAAAAUCCUUAU